CACUAGUGAUUGGUGUUCUUCCCGAUAUCUACACAUUCCACCGUUACACCGGGAAUUCCAGUCUCCCCUACCGCACUCAAGCCCGCCCGUACCCGGCGCGGAUCCACCGUUAAGCGAUGGACUUUCACACCGGACGCGACGAACCGCCUACGAGCCCUUUACGCCCAAUAAUUCCGGAUAACGCUUGCACCCUACGUAUUACCGCGGCUGCUGGCACGUAGUUAGCCGGUGCUUAUUCGAAAGGUACACUCACCCGAAGGCUUGCUCCCGAUCAAAAGCGGUUUACAACCCGAAGGCCGUCAUCCCGCACGCGGCGUCGCUGCAUCAGGCUUGCGCCCAUUGUGCAAUAUUCCCCACUGCUGCCUCCCGUAGGAGUCUGGGCCGUAUCUCAGUCCCAAUGUGGCCGGUCGCCCUCUCAGGCCGGCUACCCGUCGUAGGCUCGGUGGGCCGUUACCCCGCCGACUACCUGAUAGGACGCGACCCCUUCCCAUACCGAUGAUAUCUUUCCCGGAAGGACAUGCAUCCUACCGGAACAUCCGGCUUACCACCCGUUUCCAGGAGAAUCGAAUUA
rnacentral:rRNA from 1 species